rnacentral:rRNA from 1 species
UACGGAGGGUGCGAGCGUUAAUCGGAAUUACUGGGCGUAAAGCGUACGCAGGCGGUUAGUUAAGUCAGAUGUGAAAGCCCCGGGCUCAACCUGGGAACUGCAUUUCGAACUGGCAAACUAGAGUAUGAUAGAGGGUGGUAGAAUUUCAGGUGUAGCGGUGAAAUGCGUAGAGAUCUGAAGGAAUACCGAUGGCGAAGGCAGCCACCUGGGUCAAUACUGACGCUCAUGUACGAAAGCGUGGGUAGCGAAAGGG